rnacentral:rRNA from 1 species
GACGAACGCUGGCGGCGUGCUUAACACAUGCAAGUCGAACGGAAAGGCCCCUUCGGGGGUACUCGAGUGGCGAACGGGUGAGUAACACGUGAGUAACCUGCCCUUGACUUCGGGAUAACUUCAGGAAACUGGGGCUAAUACCGGAUAGGAAUCCUUGCUGCAUGGUGGGGGUUGGAAAGCUUCGGCGGUUUUGGAUGGACUCGCGGCUUAUCAGCUUGUUGGUGGGGUAGUGGCUUACCAAGGCUUUGACGGGUAGCCGGCCUGAGAGGGCGACCGGCCACAUUGGGACUGAGAUACGGCACAGACUCCUACGGGAGGCAGCAGUGGGGAAUAUUGCACAAUGGGCGGAAGCCUGAUGCAGAAACGCCGCGUGCGGGAUGACGGCCUUCGGGUUGUAAACCGCUUUCAGCAGGGGCGAAGCUUGUGGUGACGGUACCUGCAGAAGAAGCACCGGCUAACUACGUG